UGCAGCCGCACAAAUAGAUACACCGGAAUCGCGUGCAGCCUCCAUGUUUACAGUUGCAUCCGUUCUCCCAAUUCUGGUUUGUCUUCAACCUGGAACGAACAUAGAAUUUUGACGAGUGAAAGUGAAUGAGAUCUUUGCACAUUGCUGACUCACCCCUUCCGAAAAGUUGAAAGUUCCUUAUCGGCAAACUGGAGCUUUCAACCACCUGAACAGUGAAAUUAAUCCAUUACAGAUAACAGAUGCUGCAUUGAGACUUAGCAGCUAAUUCUAGUAAUGCGCCGGGAUUAUAACACCAGCCUUAAGAAGAAGGAGGGGUUUUAUUUUGAUAUUUUUUCCCUUUUCUAAUCGCUCCAAUACCAAAAACUUAUAUAGUGAGAAAAUAAAAAUUGAAAGAAAAGAGAUUAUUGGCGCUUGAUACUGUGGUUGUUGUAGAGGAAGAAUUAAAUCUGCCACAAUAUGAAAUUAAAACCUAG